rnacentral:misc_RNA from 1 species
GAUAAGAACGUAGCGAAAUGCGAUAAGUAAUGCGAAUUGCAGAAUUCAGUGAGUCAUCGAAUCUUUGAACGCACAUUGCGCCCUGUGGUAUUCCGCAGGGCAUGCCUGUUCGAGCGUCAUUUCAACCCUCAAGCCCCGCUUGGUGUUGGGCCCCGCCCGCCGUGGCCGGCCCUAAAGACAGUGGCGGCGCCGCCUGGCCCUCAGCGUAGUACAGCUCUCGCUCCAGGGUCCGGCGGCCGCCUGCCAGAACCCCCCCAACUCUGUGGUUGACCUCGGAUCAGGUAGGGAUACCCGCUGAACUUAAGCAUAUCAAUAAGCGGAGGA